GAGGUGGCGUCGCUGAUGGGUCUGACCAAAGGAAAUAAGCUGAGCCAAAAUGGGUCCCUAAGUCGACCAAUUAAGUAGAUGUUCAAAAGCUAUGAGUCCUUACUGGCAUUGCUAGUGAUAGAUUCAAAAUGAUCUGGAGGCAAGUAGGAUUCAAAAGCAUGAGAGGGGAUGGUGGCAGACGUUGAGGGAGAGUUGGGCUGGAUGGAG
rnacentral:misc_RNA from 1 species